rnacentral:rRNA from 1 species
GGGGAAUUUUGGACAAUGGACGAAAGUCUGAUCCAGCCAUUCCGCGUGCAGGAUGAAGGCCCUCGGGUUGUAAACUGCUUUUGUACGGAACGAAAAGGUCUCUCCUAAUACGAGAGGCUCAUGACGGUACCGUAAGAAUAAGCACCGGCUAACUACGUGCCAGCAGCCGCGGUAAUAA